rnacentral:rRNA from 1 species
UACGGGAGGCAGCAGUAGGGAAUUUUCCGCAAUGGGCGAAAGCCUGACGGAGCAACGCCGCGUGAGGGAUGAAGGUUUUCGGAUCGUAAACCUCUGUCUUCAGGGACGAUAAUGACGGUACCUGAGGAGGAAGCCACGGCUAACUACGUGCCAGCAGCCGCGGUAAUACGUAGGUGGCAAGCGUUGUCCGGAAUUACUGGGCGUAAAGGGCGUGUAGGCGGCCGAUUAAGUCAGACGUGAAAUCCCUGGGCUUAACCCAGGAACUGCGUUUGAAACUGGACGGCUUGAGGACCGGAGAGGGCAGUGGAAUUCCCAGUGUAGCGGUGAAAUGCGUAGAUAUUGGGAGGAACACCAGUGGCGAAGGCGACUGCCUGGACGGCACCUGACGCUGAGGCGCGAAAGCUAGGGGAGCAAACGGGAUUAGAUACCCCGGUAGUCCUAGCCGUAAACGAUGGGUACUAGGUGUGGGAGGUAUCGACCCCUUCCGUGCCGCAGUUAACACAAUAAGUACCCCGCCUGGGGAGUACGGCCGCAAGGUUGAAACUCAAAGGAAUUGACGG